CCUACGGGUGGCAGCAGUGGGGAAUAUUGCACAAUGGGGGAAACCCUGAUGCAGCGACGCCGCGUGAGCGAAGAAGUAUUUCGGUAUGUAAAGCUCUAUCAGCAGGGAAGAAAAUGACGGUACCUGAGUAACAAGCCCCGGCCAAUUACGUGCCAGCAGCCGCGGUCAUACGUAGGGGGCAAGCGUUAUCCGGAUCUACUGGGCGGAACGGGAGCGUAGGCGGCCGGCCAAGUCUGAUGUGAAAUCCCGGGGCUCAACCCCGGGGCUGCAUUGGAAACUGGCAGGCUGGAGUGCCGGAGAGGCAGGCGGAAUUCCUGGUGUAGCGGUGAAAUGCGUAGAUAUUAGGAGGAACACCAGUGGCGAAGGCGGCCUGCUGGACUGUGACUGACGCUGAGGCUCGAAAGCGUGGGGAGCAAACAGGAUUAGAUACCCUUGUAGUC
rnacentral:rRNA from 1 species